GAUGGAUUAGCGGCGAACGGGUGAGGAACACGUGAAGAAUCUACCUUCAACACUGGGAUAACUCCGGGAAACCGGGGCUAAUACCGGAUAUGAGAACCGCAGGCAUCUGUGGCUCUGGAAAGUUUUUCGGUUGAAGAUGACCUCGCGGCCUAUCAGCUUGUUGGUUAGGUAAUGGCUCACCAAGGCGACGACGGGUAGCCGGCCUGAGAGGGCGACCGGCCACACUGGGACUGAGACACGGCCCAGACUCC
rnacentral:rRNA from 1 species